CCCCAUUUUAUAGAGAAGGAAACUAACACAUGGAGAGGUUAAAUAUAGUAUCCAGUCCCUGGUAAUAUUUUGGGACUAAGGUCGCUAAGUCGCUGUUGUUAAAAAUUGUCUGCUUAUGUCACUUCCCAGUGUAACCCCAUGAGAUUUGAUUUCACAUCGCCUGUGAAGAUGAAAGCCAGUUGGGAUGCUCCAGCAAUGUGAGGGUGCCAAAUACGUGGCUGUUGCAGAUUAAUUUGUCUUUUGUGAACAAAUAUGCAAUGUGCUACUAGUUGAUACAUGCUUCUGAGAAAAUGGUUAUUCUGUAAGCAUUGUGCUUGCUGGCAAUGGCCACCCCAGAGAGCAAGGGGCAUACAGACAGGAGCAAGGGCUAUACAGGGCCAGCAUCAUGGGGCUCAUUAACCCAAUUCUCUUCAACAUGGCUGGAGGUGAGACUUGAACUUUAUACCAGAAAACUUCCUAUAGUCCCAGGUGUCAGGAAAAAUAAA